CCUUUCUGGGGAACCAGUUUUCAGUCCUCUGAGAAACACCACUGUGUGCCUUUAAGAAGCAACAGAAACUUGAUAGCAUAAGAACUGACCUAAUUUCUGGCUGUGCUGGUGCCUUGUGCUUAAUAGCUGCCAUCUUCCUGGUACUCUCCCCUGGGCCAGGAUUCUGAGUGCCCCACACCCAGUGCCCCACACCUGCGUCUGAUGCUUCUGGGAAGCCAAAGUGUGGAUAAGAUUUGGGCAGGUGCCCAUCAGCACCACAGCCUUGCCUCAGGUGGACAUGCGGAUCCGCUGCAUCUGCUUGGAGCCCGUGUCGUCUCCUCUCACGGUGGAGCAUUUUGGAUCAUCAUCCAAAAGUUGGACGAUCUUAACGAAGUAGUUGGAUUUCCAGGUCUCCCUCCCUGUGCUCCACGGAUCGUCACACAGGGUUUAAAGAUGGUGUCACUCUCACGCCUGUCUUUGCUGCCACCUCUGCUGCUCCUACUGCUGCAGCUGCCCCGGGUUGAAGCCAAGGAAGACUCGAAGGAGUCUGAUGAGGAUAUGGGAUUUGGUCUCUUUGACUGAUCACCAAAACAACUACUCAGCUGGCCUGAUUGGCAAAGCAAGGAAUAAAGGCGUAA
rnacentral:lncRNA from 1 species